rnacentral:lncRNA from 1 species
CAUGGAACAUAAGACAAAAGUCACUUAUAAAAGUUCCUUCAAGCGCUAGAAUCAACAACAGUUUUCAACACAUAGUAUGCUGGUUAGAUGCUAUAACAAAUCAAUACACUUGACUUUGUCUAAGCUUUUUCGGGAUAAAAAUUCCCAAAGGGCUAAUUUCUGCAGUAAGUAAUUACCUAUUGAAAGACUGUUCUGUUUGUCAGAUUUUUGUUUGGUUGUGGGGGGUAAUGGUGGGGGUCUCACUACACUGCCCAGGCUGGUCUUCAGCUCCUGGGCUCAAGCGAUCCUCCCACCUUUGCAUCUCAGUGCUGGGAUUACAGGUGCUAGCCAUGGCACCUGGCCAUGUUUGGCAGAUUUUGAAUGAUUGAGAAGACUUCCUGGCUCACUCCUCUGCUCCUUAAGUUAGAGAUCCCAAGGGUUUACUGGUGCACCUCUAUAUUGUAAAAACAGAAUGACUCUAUUUUUGCAGGCACAGUGUGGGCUGGGGAAGUUCUGCAAAGAGGGUAAGACCUCGAUAGGGGCAGUUUUGGCCACACUGGCUUCCCUGUUGAAGUUAGAAGAGGAGAAGACUAAGAGCCUAAGCACCAAGACUUCAGGAUCUAUGGGAUCCACCGCAAGUCCCAUUGAACCUUCAGAACCUCAGUUCUGAUCCGAGGAAUACCAUGGAUAAUAGAUCCUCCAUCUUAAUACUGCUUGGCUCUCCCAGUGAAACAUCUUGACUCAGGUCAUUCAACAGAAGGAAACCUGAGAACUAGAGUCCCGGAACCAAUGAUGAUUUGGGAUAAGAAGGCAUGUGACUGUCAGAGAGUGGAGUGGAAAUGAAGAAGAGAAGAAAAUGCAAGGCAGUCCUGGCUUUGUCUUUCUCUCCAAAUACUGCUCAUUCAAGACAGAGGACUGUGUGGCCACAAAGAAAAGCCUCAUCAUGUUUCUUCCAGCCAAAUUUUGACCAUUUCUUUUCAUCCAAAGGAGACAAUCUGUAAUAACAAGGAUCAUUGCUCAGAGCAUGUCACUCCCACGAAACAUAACUCGGAAGGGCCAGUGAUCACUGUUGGAAUCUGGAAGACUGAGAGAAGCAAUCUGUUUCCCUUUGCCCUGGAUCAGCUCUGCAGGAGACGCUCUGUGAGUGUGAGCUGGGAGCUAUCUCAAGGACUCCAGCUGCCAUUGCGAAGCUGCACUGUCCAAGCAUGUGUGCAUAGGAAAUGGCUUGCUUUUAUUUAGAGGCGUUUCUUCACGUAAUUUGGGAUUAGGAAUGGAGAAGCAAGGUACAGUGUCAACGAAAAGACUAAAACUCUGUAAAACAUUUGAAGAGAUUUAUUCUGAGCCAAAUAUGAAUGACCAUGGCCUGUGACACAACCCUCAGGAGGCUCUGAGAACAUGAGCCCGAGGUGGUCAGGGCACAGCCUGGUUUUAUAUAUUUCAGGGAGGCAUGAAACGGUAAUCAAAUAAAAAAAUACAUUGGUUUGGUUCAGAAAGGCGAGACAACUCGAAGUGGGGGGCUUCCAGGACAGAGGUCGAUGUAAACAUUUUCUGGUUGACAAUUGGUUGAGUUCAUCUGAAGACCUGGGAUCAAGAGAAAGGAAAUGUUCAGGUUUAAGAUAAAGGAUUGUAGAGACCAAGUUUUAUUGUGCAGAGGAAGCUCUCAGCCGACUUCAGAGAGAGCAGGUUGUAAAAUGUUUCUUAUCAGACCUAAAAGGGUGCCUGGCUCUUAGUUGAUUAUCUCCUGGACCUGGAAAGGAAGGAAGGAAGGAAAACAAAGGGGAAAGGGGAUUCUUCCCACAGGAGACUCUGCAGGGCAAUUUCUCUUUUUUUUUCCUGCAGGGCAAUUUCAAGAUACGGCAAGGAAAUAUACAGUGAGGUUAAAUAUUUUGGUUUUUUUCCUUGUCUCAUAACGUUAUGCCAGAAUCAGAUUGGAAAGUAAGUCACCAUAUAUAGGGCCAAAUAAAACCCAUCCGGCUGGGUGCAGUGGUUCACGCCUGUAAUCCCAGCAAUUUGGGAGGCCAAGGCGGGCAGAUCACUUCAGGUCAGGAGUUUAAGACCAGCCUGCCCAACAUGGCGAAACCCCGUCUCUACUAAAAAUACAAAAAUCAGCCGGGCUUGGUGGCGUGUGACUGUAAUCCCAUUCAAUUUGGGAGGCUGAGACAGGAGAAUCACUAGACUCUGGGAGGUGGAGGUUGCAGUGAGCCGAGAUCACGCCACUGCACUCCAGCCUUGGCAACAAAGCAAGACUCCAUCUCAGAAAAAAAAAAAAAAAGACAUCACUUUGGAGAUUCCAAGGAUUUCAGGAGUUGCAUGGCAGGAAACAGGGUUGAAGACCAAAUGUAUAUUUCAUAAUAUCACAGUCUCUCUUCAGCAACUCUGUCUGGCAUACACUCUCACUCUUGAGCGAAGUAGAAUCACCUGGUCCUCACAUAAGAUGGCAUCAAUAACUUUAUUCCUCUAUAAAUUGGGAAGAGAUUAGAAAUAAAAACCUUAAUAGAAGCACAAGUGUUUGUUAGUCUAAAUUACUCUAGGGUGUGUAAUUUCUGGUGAAAAGUAAAGAGUAUGUACUGGUUUACAAAGGAGGUUAUCGUGGAAUAAUUUACUAAAGAAAAAUAGAGUCGGCCGGGCGCUGUGGCUCAAGCCUGUAAUCCCAGCACUUUGGGAGGCCGAGACAGGCGGAUCACAAGGUCAGGAGAUCGAGACCAUCCUGGCUAACACAGUGAAACCCCGUCUCUACUAAAAAAAAUACAAAAAAACUAGCCGGGAGAGGUGGCGGGCGCCUGUAGUCCCAGCUACUCAGGAGGCUGAGGCAGGAGAAUGGCGUAAACCCGGGAGGCGGAGCUUGCAGUGAGCUGAGAUCUGGCCACUGCACUCCAGCCUGGGUGACAGAGCAAGACUCCGUCUCAAAAAAAAAAAAAAAAGAAAAGUAGAUUCAUUCAUCACACAGUACUUUUCUUGGACUUUAUUUAAGAAUUUAUGGCGGAAGAUAUUCUCCAAAAACUACAACAAACAAGAAUUGGUAAAAGUGGCACACAUUAGAAGCUUAAUUUUGUUCUAAAACAAUGUAAAAGACAUUAUAUUUGUCUGUAUUUUCUUAUACUUUAACAUGACUUUCUUCAUGCAUAUAAUACCAGCAAUCUGGCAGGCUGAGGCGGGUGGAUCACUUGAGGUCAAGAGUUUAAGACCAGCCUGGCCAACAUGGUGAAACCUUGUCUCUACCAAAAAAUACAAAAAUCAAUCAGACUUGGUGGUACAUGCCUACAAUCCCAGCUACUUGGGAGGCUGGGACAGGAGAAUUGCUUGAACCUGGGAGGGAGAGGUUGCAGUGAGCCGAGAUCACGCCACUGCACUCCAGCUUGGGUGACAGAGUAAGACUCCGUCUCAAAAAAUAAAAAAUAAACAAAUAAACAAAUAAAUAAAUAAAUAUGACUUUAAAAAAUAUUGCUCAGAACUUUCAAAUAUUGCUCAUAAAAACUAUAAUUUUAAAGAUGUACAGGUCAAAUUCUGCUAAGUGAGAGUCUUGAUAAACUCCUCUCAACCUGUUUACUGGAAAAAUGUACUGGGCAUACAGUAAAUUUCAUGGAUUAUAAUAGUGUGAAAGUAUUAUAUAACAUAAAUAUGAAGCAGAUCAAAUUACUAUUAUUAUACCGUAAUUCAAAUUUCUUUUGGGGGAAAAGUUAUAAGGAAGCAAGCUAUUCUGAUUAGAAAACGUAGGCCAGUUGUGGUGGCUCACGCCUGUAAUCCCAGCACUUUGAGAGGCUGAGGCGGGCGGAUCCCCUGAGGCCAGGAAUUCGAGACCAGCCUGGGUAACAUAGUGAAACCCUGUCUUUACUAAAAAUACAAAAAUUAGCCAGGCGUGGUAGUGCACACCUGUAAUC